GAUGAACGCUAGCUACAGGCUUAACACAUGCAAGUCGAGGGGCAGCAUGAGGGUUAGCAAUAACUCUUGAUGGCGACCGGCGCAAGGGUGCGUAACGCGUGAGCAACUUGCCCGUUUCUGGGGAAUAACCGGUGGAAACGCCGACUAAUACCCCAUAGCAUUAAUUUCAGGCAUCUGUUAUCAAUUAAAGAAUUUCGGAAACGGAUAGGCUCGCGUGACAUUAGCUAGAUGGCGGGGUAACGGCCCACCAUGGCUACGAUGUCUAGGGGUUCUGAGAGGAAGGUCCCCCACACUGGAACUGAGACACGGUCCAGACUCCUACGGGAGGCAGCAGUGAGGAAUAUUGGUCAAUGGUCGAGAGACUGAACCAGCCAUGCCGCGUGAAGGUGACGGCCCUAUGGGUCUUAAACUUCUUUUGUAAGGGAGCAAUAAGUCUUACGUGUAGGAUGAUGAGAGUACCUUACGAAUAAGCAUCGGCUAACUCCGUGCCAGCAGCCG
rnacentral:rRNA from 1 species